GAUGUUUGAAGAAAUCCUGUAGUUGAUCUCAUUGCAAAGUCCUUUUAGAGAGGUAAAAAUAGUUUGUUUUAUUUUCAAAAAUUAGGUUUUCUUAGACUAAAACUUCUUGGAAGUGGGGGCAUAUCAUGUUCCUGUAUAUUGCCUACAGGUGGAAGUGAGAAGGAGAAGUGAGAUGCUGAGCAUCAAGCUGGGCAGAGUUGUCAUGUUGUGAUCUGAGAUUCUGUCCUGUUCUUCAGGAUUUAAGGAGUCGCUAACCAAUGCCAAGCAUGGGCUCAUCGGGUGCAGCUGGGGAGGCAAUUACUUCAACUCAGGAGUUUUCAAAAACUUUCCUUAUGCCUGCUCACAG
rnacentral:lncRNA from 1 species